rnacentral:rRNA from 1 species
CUCCGGUGAUCCCGCCCUUACCCGACUGCUAUCAGAGUGGGACUGGCCAUGCGAGUCAACAUAGCAAUAUGUGGCAUACGGCUCAGUAACGGGAGUCAACAUGCUUAGGGGACGUGGAUAACCUCGGGAAACUGAGGAUAAACCGCGAUAGGUCAUCACUUCUGGAAUGGGUAAUGACUUAAAUCUAUAUGGCCUUUGGAUUGGACUGCGGCCGAUCAGGCUGUUGGUGAGGUAAUGGCCCACCAAACCUGUAACCGGUACGGGCUCUGAGAGGAGGAGCCCGGAGAUGGGCACGGACAAGGUUCCAGGCCCUAUGGGGCGCAGCAGGCGCGAAGGCUCUGCAAUAGGCGAAAGCUUGACAGGGUUACUCUGAGUGAUUUCCGUUAAGGAGAUCUUUUGGCACCUCUUAUAAUGGUUUCAGAAUAAGGGGUGGGCAAGUCUGGUGUCAGCCGCCGCGGUAAUACCAGCACCCCGAGUGGUCGGGACGUUUAUUGGGCCUAAAGCAUCCGUAGCCGGUUCUACAAGUCUUCCGUUAAAUCCACCUGCUUAACAGAUGGGCUGCGGAAGAUACUAUAGAGCUUAGGCGGGAGAGGCAAGCGGUACUCGAUGGGUAGGGGUAAAAUCCGUUGAUCCAUUGAAGACCACCAGUGGCGAAGGCGGCUUGCCAGAACGCGCUCGACGGGGAGGGAUGAAAGCUGGGGGAGCAAACCGGAUUAGAUACCCGGGUAGUCCCAGCUGUAAACGAUGCAGACUCGGUGAUGAGUUGGCUUAUUGCUAACUCAGUGCCGCAGGGAAGGGGUUAAGUUUGCCGCCUGGGGAGUACGGUCGCAAGGGGAAACUUAAAGGAAUUGGCGGGGGAGCAAGUCGCAAAGUCGCGAGGCUAAGCUAAUCUCUUAAAGCUUCUCUCAGUUCGGAUUGUAGGCUGCAACUCGCCUACAUGAAGGGCGGAAUCGCUAGUAAUCGCGGAUCAGCACGCCGCGGUGAAUACG